AAUAGUACCCCGGUAGUCCACGCCGUAAACGGUGGGCACUAGGUGUGGGCGACAUUCCACGUCGUCCGUGCCGCAGCUAACGCAUUAAGUGCCCCGCCUGGGGAGUACGGCCGCAAGGCUAAAACUCAAAGGAAUUGACGGGGGGCCCGCACAAGCGGCGGAGCAUGUGGCUUAAUUCGACGCAACGCGAAGAACCUUACCAAGGCUUGACAUACACCGGAAACGUCCAGAGAUGGGCGCCCCCUUGUGGUCGGUGUACAGGUGGUGCAUGGCUGUCGUCAGCUCGUGUCGUGAGAUGUUGGGUUAAGUCCCGCAACGAGCGCAACCCUUGUCCCGUGUUGCCAGCAGGCCCUUGUGGUGCUGGGGACUCACGGGAGACCGCCGGGGUCAACUCGGGAGGAAGGUGGGGACGACGUCAAGGUCAUCAUGCCCCUUAUGUCUUGGGCUGCACACGUGCUACAAUGGCCGGUACAAUGAGCUGCGAUACCGCGAGGUGGAGCGAAUCUCAAAAAGCCGGUCUCAGUUCGGAUUGGGGUCUGC
rnacentral:rRNA from 1 species